AUACUUACCUAACAGAAAAAUUACCAUGAUCACAACGGUGGUUUUCUCAGGUUGAGGUUCUUCCAUGCACUCUGGUGUGUUGACCCCUGCAAUGUCCCCAAAUGUGGGACACUCCACUGCGUAAUGUGUGGCAGGGGGGCACUGCAUUCUCACUUUCCCCUG